rnacentral:rRNA from 1 species
CCUACGGGGGGCUGCAGUGGGGAAUAUUGCGCAAUGGGCGAAAGCCUGACGCAGCGACGCCGCGUGAGGGAUGAAGGUCUUCGGAUCGUAAACCUCUGUCAGCAGGGAAGAACGGUCACUGUGCUAAUCAGCAGUGAAUUGACGGUACCUGCAAAGGAAGCACCGGCUAACUCCGUGCCAGCAGCCGAGGUAAUACGGAGGGUGCGAGCGUUAAUCGGAAUUACUGGGCGUAAGGCGCUCGUAGGAGGUAUGUAAAGACAAGGGUGAAAGCCCCGCGCUCAACGUGGGAACUGACUUUGAAACUGGCAAACUGGAGUGUGUGAGAGGAUAGGGGAAUUCCAGGUGUAGGAGUGAAAUCCGUAGAUAUCUGGAGGAACAUCAGUGGCGAAGGCGACUAUCUGGCACAUAACUGACGCUGAGGAGCGAAAGCGUGGGUAGCAAACAGGAUUAGAUACCCGGGUAGUC